GGAUCAAAGGUGGCCUCUACAUGUAAGCUACUGUUUGGGGAUGAGCCCGCGUACCAUUAGCUAGUUGGUAGGGUAAAGGCCUACCAAGGCGACGAUGGUUAGCUGGUCUGAGAGGAUGAUCAGCCACACUGGAACUGACACACGGUCCAGACUCCUACGGGAGGCAGCAGUGAGGAAUUUUGCGCAAUGGGGGAAACCCUGACGCAGCAACGCCGUGUGAGUGAUGAAGGCCUUCGGGUCGUAAAGCUCUGUCGAGUGGGAAGAACCCAUACCCGUUGAACAAGCGGGUGUGCUGACGGUACCACUGAAGGAAGCACCGGCUAACUCCGUGCCAGCAGCCGCGGUAAUACGGAGGGUGCGAGCGUUAUUCGGAAUUAUUGGGCGUAAAGGGCACGUAGGCGGCCGUGUGAGUCAGCUGUGAAAGCCCGGGGCUUAACCCCGGAAGUGCAGUUGAUACUGCGCGGCUUGAGUAUGGGAGAGGGAAGUGGAAUUCCUGGUGUAGCGGUGAAAUGCGUAGAUAUCAGGAGGAACACCGGUGGCGAAGGCGACUUCCUGGACCAAUACUGACGCUGAGGUGCGAAGGCGUGGGGAGCAAACAGGAUUAGAUACCCUGGUAGUCCACGCAGUAAACGGUGAUCACUAGGUGUAGCGGGUAUUGACCCCUGCUGUGCCGGAGUUAACGCAUUAAGUGAUCCGCCUGGGGAGUACGGCCGCAAGGUUAAAACUUAAAGGAAUUGACGGGGGCCCGCACAAGCGGAGGAGCAUGUGGUUUAAUUCGAUGAUACGCGAGGAACCUUACCUGGGCUUAAAUGUAUAUUGACGUACUGAGAAAUCAGUAUUUCUUCGGACAAUUUACAAGGUGCUGCAUGGUUGUCGUCAGCUCGUGCCGUGAGGUGUCGGGUUAAGUCCCAUAACGAGCGCAACCCCUACUUCUAGUUACCAGCAUUUCGGAUGGGGACUCUAGAGGAACUGCCUACGCAAGUAGAGAGGAAGGUGGGGAUGACGUCAAAUCAGCACGGCCCUUAUGUCCAGGGCUACACACGUGCUACAAUGGCCGGUACAGAGGGCAGCUACAUAGCAAUAUGAUGCUAAUCUCUAAAGCCGGUCUCAGUCCGGAUUGGAGUCUGCAACUCGACUCCAUGAAGCUGGAUUCGCUAGUAAUCGCACAUCAGCAAUGGUGCGGUGAAUACGUUCCCGGGCCUUGUACACACCGCCCGUCAAGCCAUGGAAGUUGGGGGUACCUGAAGUCG
rnacentral:rRNA from 1 species